rnacentral:rRNA from 1 species
UACGUAGGUGGCAAGCGUUGUCCGGAUUUACUGGGUGUAAAGGGCGUGCAGCCGGAGAGACAAGUCAGAUGUGAAAUCCACGGGCUCAACCCGUGAACUGCAUUUGAAACUGUUUCCCUUGAGUGUCGGAGAGGUAAUCGGAAUUCCUUGUGUAGCGGUGAAAUGCGUAGAUAUAAGGAAGAACACCAGUGGCGAAGGCGGAUUACUGGACGAUAACUGACGGAGAGGCGCGAAAGCGUGGGGAGCAAACAGG